CUGCAGAGAAAAUGGACAGUGGUGGACAAGUCCCACAAUACAAAAUGUGGUAGGAGCUCCCACAACACAAGGAAGAUGAGAGAAGAAGAGUACUUUCCACUACGGGCAGUGAACUUCAGGAGGUGGUGAAAAAAGUCAAGAAGAAAAGACUCCUGUCUGUGACUGAGAGCACUCCUACACAAGUCUGACACAGUUGGUGUGAGAUACCUGCAUGGCUUUACCACAACUGACC
rnacentral:lncRNA from 1 species